GGUUCCGUAGUUCAAUGGAUAGAACGGAAGUUUCCUAAACUUUAGAUUUGGGUUCGAUUCCCAGCGGAACUA
rnacentral:tRNA from 1 species